rnacentral:rRNA from 1 species
GACUCUCGGUAAUGGAUAUCUCAGCUCUCGUAUCGAUGAAGAACGUAGCGAAAUACGAUACUUGAUGUGAAUUGCAGAGUCCCGUGAAAUAUCGAGUCUAUGAACGCCGUUUGCGGUGUCGGCACUUCAGUGAUG